AUUGAACGAUGGCGGCAGGCCUAACACAUGAAAGUCGAACGAGUGGCGGACGGGUCAGUCAUGUCUGGGAAACUGCCCGAUGGGGGGGGAUCACUACUGGAAACGGUAGCUAAUACCGCCUACCAUCGGAUGUGCCCAGAUGGGAUUAGCUAGUAGGUGGGGUAACGGCUCACCUAGGCGACGAUCCCUAGCUGGUCUGAGAGGAUGACCAGCGACACUGGAACGGAGACACGGGACAGAUUCCUAAGGGAGGCAGCAGUGGGGAAUAUUGGAGCAAAGGCGAAAGCCUGAUGCAGCCAUGCCGCGUGUGUGAAGAAGGCCGUCGGGUUGUAAAGCACUUUCAGCGGGGAGGCGUUACCCGCAGAAGAAGCACAGUCUAACCCCGGGCCAGCAGCCGCGGUAAUUC
rnacentral:rRNA from 1 species